ACGAACGCUGGCGGCGUGCUUAACACAUGCAAGUCGAACGGAAAGGCCCUGCUUUUGUGGGGUGCUCGCGUGGCGAACGGGUGAGUAACACGUGAGUAACCUGCCCUUGACGUUGGGAUAACUUCAGGAAACUGGGGCUAAUACCGGAUAGGAGCUCCUGCUGCAUGGUGGGGGUUGGAAAGUUUCGGCGGUUGGGGAUGGACUCGCGGCUUAUCAGCUUGUUGGUGGGGUAGUGGCUUACCAAGGCUUUGACGGGUAGCCGGCCUGAGAGGGUGACCGGCCACAUUGGGACUGAGAUACGGCCCAGACUCCUACGGGAGGCAGCAGUGGGGAAUAUUGCACAAUGGGCGGAAGCCUGAUGCAGCAACGCCGCGUGCGGGAUGACGGCCUUCGGGUUGUAAACCGCUUUCGCCUGUGACGAAGCGUGAGUGACGGUAAUGGGUAAAGAAGCACCGGCUAACUACGUG
rnacentral:rRNA from 1 species